rnacentral:lncRNA from 1 species
CUCGUUUCCAAAUCCUAAAAAAGUUUCCCUUACAUUAAAAUUCUUUUCUGUCCCAUCUUCUAAAAUCUUACAAUAACAUCUUUUAACUUUCAGGGAAACAAAAUUCAGGCUACAUUAUUUAAGAACUCCAUCACGGCUUUCAAAGACACCUUCCUUCUACAAAAAACAUACCUCAUCUCAAAUGCACAAAUUAAAGAAACAGAUAAAAAUUAGAGGGCGCAACUUGUUGACAUCCGAUGGACAAUCAAUGCGAAAAUCAACGUUGUUAAAGUUAAUGAACAAUUUAAGUCGCUCUCCUUUCAUCAACUUACAACUUCAUAUCAUUCGAAAAUCUUAAACCAUACAUGAUAAAAAUGCCGAAAUUAGUAAGUAUUUGCAAUCCUAUUAAUAUCUUACACUUCAUUACUCUUAUCUUAAACAUAAAUUACAAACUAUACUAAUUACUAACCCAUAUUAUUUCUUGUAGGCAUCAUUGGAAUAGCAAUCGACAUAUUCCCCAAAAGAGUAAUUCAAAUUCGUGACAACCAAUCAACAGUACAAGAUGUCAUUCUCAUGAACGAAAGGUUAGACAUUUACUAUUGCCAACACUAAAAUAACUCUUUUCGUUAUCACAUUAAAUAUAGCUAAAAACCUUACAAGUUAGAAACACAUAUGCUUCGGAUGUGGGACAAUUUUGUCACAAAUGAAUGUAAUACCAUCUACAACACAAUCACCAAAAAGCCAGUUCUUGUGAGCAAUAGAUUAAGAGUAACUUCUUUCAAUGGUAAAUUGACUCAUCCAUGCACACAAUUAUACCAACACAUGAAUUUAAACCUUACACUAAAAGCUCAAUUCAAUCUCUAUUUACGUAUAUCUUUCUCUACAAAAAUCAACUCAUCAAUACUCAUUAAUCCCCCAUUUUUAAGCAAGUUCUUGUACUAAACACUGGUAUAUUCUUUCACUUAUUCACUUACAUACUUAUAUCAAUUGUAACUAUAAUUCUUAAUUUCCUUCUUUACUUUUUAACAAAUUCAUUCUAACAUCAACAUUAGGCUAGAGAACAAUAUGAACACAAUAAAUUACAUCUUGACAAGAAAAGCUUAUAUCUUUCCCCGCAUCUACCACCAUUUGUUGUCCACCGAAAGAAAAGUUAGUCAACAUUAAACAACUACAGCAACUCCAACAUAUGGUACACCAAAUUACUACACCUUCUCACUUACAUAACAUUUCACAUCUAUCCUAACACACAUUUUUUUACAAGUUAUUUUAUACAUUGCAACAUAGACACUCUGGACAAAAGCAAAUGUCACAUUGGCUGAAAUAAUCCAACCACCAUGGUAACUAUCAUGUGACAAUUGCCAUAAAUCUACAAGUGCAGCUGUGAACGAAACUUAUUUCUGUAGAUUAUUCAAGCACAAUUACGC